rnacentral:rRNA from 1 species
GACGAACGCUGGCGGCGUGCUUAACACAUGCAAGUCGAACGGAAAGGCCCUGCUUGCAGGGUACUCGAGUGGCGAACGGGUGAGUAACACGUGGGUGAUCUGCCCUGCACUUCGGGAUAAGCCUGGGAAACUGGGUCUAAUACCGGAUAUGACCUUCCAUGUAGUGUGGGGGGUGGAAAGAUUUAUCGGUGUGGGAUGAGCCCGCGGCCUAUCAGCUUGUUGGUGGGGUAAUGGCCUACCAAGGCGUCGACGGGUAGCCGGCCUGAGAGGGUGGACGGCCACAUUGGGACUGAGAUACGGCCCAGACUCCUACGGGAGGCAGCAGUGGGGAAUAUUGCACAAUGGGCGGAAGCCUGAUGCAGCGACGCCGCGUGGGGGAUGACGGUCUUCGGGUUGUAAACCUCUUUCGACAGGGACGAAGCUUCGGUGACGGUACCUGUAUAAGAAGCACCGGCUAACUACGUG